rnacentral:misc_RNA from 1 species
GAGAAGACAAAUUACUACACAACGCAGCAACUCAUUCAGAGAUAUGAUCCUGAUCCAGCAGCAAAGGCAGCUGCUGCGUUGUGUAGUAAUUUGUCUUCUCUUUAAGCUCAUCAAUUUUUGCUUGCCUCUCAGCUCGAAGAUGAAGCUAAGCUUAACAUUCCAACUGGGAAGAGUAAUGAUGUUGAGCUUGUGCAAGCUAGUAGCCUUAGAAAUAGAAAGCAAGUACACGCUAGAUCCAGUAGUGCAGGGAGUGCUCCAGUGCUUCAUCCUAACGAAGAAAUGCUAUGCUCUGCACAAAGUGAAGGUCUUCAAACUUCUGAGCAUAAUCAGCUUGUCGUUGAGCAUCACAAUCCACAGGCUUCUACCGUGCACGAUGGGGGAUGGAUUGCUCGAUUGGCAGCAUUACUUGUCGGUGAAGACCCUACACAAUCUUAUGCACUGAUAUGUGGAAACUGCCAUAUGCACAAUGGGCUCGCCAGGAAGGAGGAUUUCCCGUACAUUAUUUACUACUGCCCCCACUGUCAUGCCCUGAAUCAGCCAAAACAAUCAAAAGACCGUGUUACUGGAUUUAAUUCCCCGAAUUUGGGCAAUUUGAAGGCUGGAGACAAUGUUGAAGCAGUCAACAAUGCCAGCAACUCCCAGAGUGACAGCAUUCUCCCUAGCAGCAGCCCUGUCAGAGCUGGUUCAGAGAAUGAGGAAGUAAUUGAAAGGCAAGCAUCAGGGGAAUUGGCUAGUUAACAUUGGACUUCCGUGAUUACUGGUGAUAGGCCUUUCAACUGAUCUAUAGGGUGUGGGUUGACAAUGAGGGAUGGAUUUGCAUUAGUUUUGCUUCGCGUGUUCUUGUAACAAGGUGUGCAUGAGAUUUGGCGGUGUUUGCUUUGUACUUUAUACUGAUACAUGUAGAUGAUGUCUCAAUUGUAAUGGGGGAAUUGUUCAUUUCGUCCGAUGGAAUUUUUCUCUUAUGGCAAGCUCA